UUCAUGGUUUCAUGGGACAGGUUCACCUACUUAGUUUAUCCAAUAUCUCUUGUACCUAAUUGUUUUCUAUGAGAGUUUCUACUAAUCUGUCACUUUGAUCAUAAAGUAUUUUCGUAAAAAAGAGCAUUUUUGACGCGUUUUCAGUAGGGAUUGUUGUUCGAAGUUCGAAUCGCUGGAAUUAGUUCAUUCGAUCUACCUAUUGUUUGCCAGAUUUCAGCCUCAAGUGAUCCUUCUGUACUUACUGGGACAAUAUUAAAUCAAAAUGAUUGAUUUUGAUUGGGAUUUGUUUUUUCGAAAAGUACCUACUCUGCAAGAUUUAAUCAUUGACCAAAUGGCUCGGCGUUUAUGGCAUGAUGAAAUGAUUUUAAAACGAAAGUCCGUUAAAUCCACGUGUUCGUACCAUGGUAACAGUAAGGACAGUGAAACAUCUAUGGAUAUAACAUUUGAUUCAACAAAUCCACUGUUCAGGAUAUUGAAGAUUGGUCAAAAAAUUACUUCCGAUGAAUCGAAGCCGGCAAAUUCAAUUUGUAUACCCUCCAAAAUUGAAUAUGUGAUUAAGCAGCGUGUUUUGAAAGUCGAAACCGAAAUCAAAAAGUGGCUUCAGUAUCACCGCGAAGAAGUGUUCAAAGGACCCAUUUACCACAAUCAUCAAAUUAAUAUUUUGAAUCGACUCGAUUUUAAUGAAAUAACGUACGAUAAUAAUUGCAGAAUCAAUUACAAGAAAACUGCUCGAAAAAUGCUAGCUUGUAAAAAGUUUUCUGCGAUAGAUAAAUUUAUGAUUGCUAGCGCGUACUGUUUCGGACAUGACAUUGCACGGAUGUGGCCCGCUGUAUCAAGAGUUCUUCAUCGUUAUGAAUUUUCAUUUGAUUUAUAUCCUCUACCGUAUUAUUGGAGAUGUCAAAUGACAGGUCGUUUAAAUGAACUGCCGAUUGAGGUUCAAAGAGAUGUAAGAAGAAUCUGCCCACUUGUGGGAGGUAAUAUACUAGCAUGGGAGCACUUUUAUGAAAUCUUGAUGGGUCGUCGGAAAGUGAACUUGGACGGUAUUUACAACGUUUUCCGUUGCGCUUAUCCGCAAAGUAUAGAAAUAACAGUGAAAAAGUAUUUUCCUUCAUUUAGCGAAGAUGCUUUAAAAUAUGUCUUUUCGAAGUACGGUUCCCUCAUAAUGAUUCGAUUGAUUACGACUUCCAGUCUUCGGAAAUUCGUGUUACCAAUAUGGUUACGCGUCAAUCAUAUAAUCGAUGGCGAUACGCUGCUUCGUAUUUUUCAAGAGAUACUAUCAAAACAAGAUCCAGGAAAAAUUAUUCAAUUUUUAUUCAGAGAAAUAUGGCAUCAUACUUCAUCUGAAUUACGAAGUUACGUUUUAAACUAUUUCCAACGUUCGAAUUCGUUCAACGAAUUUAGGACUUUGAUGUAUGAAGAAUGACGAGAUUUUUAUGUUUUAUAAUUUAGUAUACAUAUGUGCCUAUAGUGUAUAAAAGAAUGACGCGAUUUUGUACCUAAUUAUUCAUACUCAUUCAUUGUACAUAAUGUUGUGAUCUAUUGACGUGCUGUAUCAUUUAAUAAUAAUGAUUUUUUUACUCUAGAUUUCAUUUCUUGUAAUAAAAAUGUAGUCUUGCGUAAA